CCUCUUUCAAACCAAGAUUUUUUUUUUCCUCUCUUUAAAACGAUUUGUGCUCAUAUUUUGUGCAAAUGGCUUCUAAUUUUUUUUUGUCAUUGUGGAAAAAGAGCUAUAAUAAAGAUUUCUUGGUCUGCAAAUAAUCCAGGUCAUUGGUUUUUUGGAUGUGAAGAUGAUCGGGUUGGAUGCAAGUUUUUUAGGCAGUGUAAACUUGAUUAUAUUGAACACGCUAGAAUUGCUAUUUCGGAAUUACAAAAGAGGAUAAAAAACAUGAUGAAGAAAAGGAAAAGAUUAGGAGGAAAUAUCGACUUUUGCUGAUCAUUGUGAUACUAUCUUGGAUUUAUAGAGAGUUCUUUAUGUAGUAAAUGUUAUGUAUAUUGGUUGAAAAAAUUAUGCCAGAAUUGUUUUGUUCGUAAUGUAGCUUUCUUUAUGGGUUAGGGGCUGUCAAUAUGUAUUGUAAGCAAUCAAAGUAAUGGAUUGAAAUGCACUAUUUUAGAGUUGACA